rnacentral:rRNA from 2 species
UCAGGACGAACGCUGGCGGCGUGCCUAAUACAUGCAAGUCGAGCGGACAGAUGGGAGCUUGCUCCCUGAUGUUAGCGGCGGACGGGUGAGUAACACGUGGGUAACCUGCCUGUAAGACUGGGAUAACUCCGGGAAACCGGGGCUAAUACCGGAUGCUUGAUUGAACCGCAUGGUUCAAUUAUAAAAGGUGGCUUUCAGCUACCACUUACAGAUGGACCCGCGGCGCAUUAGCUAGUUGGUGAGGUAACGGCUCACCAAGGCAACGAUGCGUAGCCGACCUGAGAGGGUGAUCGGCCACACUGGGACUGAGACACGGCCCAGACUCCUACGGGAGGCAGCAGUAGGGAAUCUUCCGCAAUGGACGAAAGUCUGACGGAGCAACGCCGCGUGAGUGAUGAAGGUUUUCGGAUCGUAAAACUCUGUUGUUAGGGAAGAACAAGUACCGUUCGAAUAGGGCGGUACCUUGACGGUACCUAACCAGAAAGCCACGGCUAACUACGUGCCAGCAGCCGCGGUAAUACGUAGGUGGCAAGCGUUGUCCGGAAUUAUUGGGCGUAAAGCGCGCGCAGGCGGUUUCUUAAGUCUGAUGUGAAAGCCCCCGGCUCAACCGGGGAGGGUCAUUGGAAACUGGGGAACUUGAGUGCAGAAGAGGAGAGUGGAAUUCCACGUGUAGCGGUGAAAUGCGUAGAGAUGUGGAGGAACACCAGUGGCGAAGGCGACUCUCUGGUCUGUAACUGACGCUGAGGCGCGAAAGCGUGGGGAGCGAACAGGAUUAGAUACCCUGGUAGUCCACGCCGUAAACGAUGAGUGCUAAGUGUUAGAGGGUUUCCGCCCUUUAGUGCUGCAGCAAACGCAUUAAGCA